CCUCCACGUUUUAUUUCCCUUUGCGCUUCCUCUUCUUCUUACUCCUUCCUUUCACUCUCGCCCUCCGGCUCGGGCUCGCUCUCCGCGUCCCUCCGCUUUUGUUACCCCUCCCUCGAUCCCUCCCGCUCCCCGCCCCCGCGUGGCACUGCGGAGCCGGAGACGUGACCCGAGCGGACUCGCUUCCCCGCAGCUCCAGCCUCUCGCCGCAGAGUCGCAUGUCCUCGAUCCAGAACCUCCAAUCCUUCGACCCCUUUGCUGAUGCAACAAAGGGCGACGACUUACUCCCGGCGGGGACUGAGGAUUACAUUCAUAUAAGGAUCCAGCAACGAAACGGAAGAAAGACACUAACAACUGUUCAGGGCAUUGCAGAUGAUUAUGACAAGAAGAAACUUGUGAAAGCUUUCAAAAAGAAAUUUGCUUGUAAUGGUACUGUGAUUGAGCAUCCUGAAUACGGUGAAGUUAUCCAGCUGCAAGGUGACCAGAGGAAGAACAUUUGCCAAUUCCUCUUGGAGAUUGGCAUUGUCAAGGAAGAACAACUGAAAGUUCAUGGUUUCUAAUAUACCUGUACUUUUAUGAAGAACCCUGCAGUAUUGGUCUUACCUAUCCUGGCUCUUCUGUGAAAAAUGAAUCUUUGCAGUGAAUGGACUUCCCCAUUACUUGAACAUUUACAAUUUGAUUUGCAUGACUUCAUGAAACAGAUUUUUGAGUUCAGAAAUGAACCCAUAAGGCACUAGCAACAAUUAGGGGAGCAUUAUAUGAUGAUUUCUUUCUCCGUCUGGUCUAGACAAUUCCACUUGUAAAAAUCUAUUCUCUCAGUCUCCACAAAUACUGCCUGAUGUUACAGACCUUAACCGUUCCAAAGAAAGGAUGCUCCAGAAGAUGGUAUACUGUUAAGGUGCAAUACAUUCAGGAGGAGGAAAUGCCUCAUGCAAAGCAUAAAAUACCCACAUACCAAAUGGAAAUCCAAAAAUAAAUCUUAUGCAAGUCUUGUAGAUGAGCAGAAUAAAGUCAUUCUAGUGCAAGUUUA